CGCAGCCAGCUGCGAGAUUUGGUGUGAAUUGCAGGACACAUUGAGCACUGAUUUUUCGAACGCACAUUGCGGCCUCGGGUCCUGCCCGGGGCCUCGCCUGUCUGAGGGUCGGAUAAGACUUGCCUAGGAGGUCUCGGUCGUAAAAAAGCCGGGGCCUUCAAUUGGCCGCACCGGAUGCCUCACGGGGCGUUCGCCGGCUCAAGUACUUGGAAGGAUCUCGAUCCGUUCGCACACGGGCAGCAGCCACCACAGUUGGAAGCUCGUCGAGUGGAGGAAGACGGAUGUUCUUCUCCCGAGGACGAGACGUGGCUUCAAGCAGGCUGCCCUGCAAGGCGAAGCGAGGUCGCAGGUCCCGUCGGAGGUCCCGUCCCUUAACGGGACGGGACGAGAUGACAAAAAACCCCUUCUUUUUGUCGACCUCAGAUCAGACGAGAUGACCCGCUGAAUUUAAGCAUAUC
rnacentral:rRNA from 1 species